GCCGCGUUAGCGUAGUGGUAGCGCGUCGCACUUGUAGCACUGCAAUCUUCUCUUGCCUGCUGAGAUGCGAAGGUCACUCGUUCGACCCGGGUACGUGGCA